rnacentral:rRNA from 1 species
UGGGGAAUAUUGCACAAUGGGCGCAAGCCUGAUGCAGCGACGCCGCGUGGGGGAUGACGGCCUUCGGGUUGUAAACUCCUUACGCUAGGGACGAAGCUUUUUGUGACGGUACCUAGAUAAGAAGCACCGGCUAACUACGUGCCAGCAGCCGCGGUAAUACGUAGGGUGCGAGCGUUGUCCGGAAUUACUGGGCGUAAAGGGCUCGUAGGUGGUUUGUCGCGUCGUCUGUGAAAUUCCGGGGCUUAACUCCGGGCGUGCAGGCGAUACGGGCAUAACUUGAGUACUGUAGGGGUAACUGGAAUUCCUGGUGUAGCGGUGAAAUGCGCAGAUAUCAGGAGGAACACCGAUGGCGAAGGCAGGUUACUGGGCAGUUACUGACGCUGAGGAGCGAAAGCAUGGGUAGCGAACAGG